AGGCACCCUCACAAAGUAUAUUUUUAAUUAAAAAUAUACUUUCCAUCAAGUUCGACUUUGUUUCUCCCUCUUCUCAGUAAAGAUUCAAGUAUUUGAAGGAAUCUGGGACUGAAAGAAUGUGAGUACACAGAAGUGGGGGAAGCAGCUCUCCGGGGCAGGGGACAAACUGAAAUUGGCUGCAGAAGACAGAGGGAACUACACGAACGUGGGCAGAUGAAAGCCCUACUGCACAUUGUGCUCCACCUGACAGAAGCAGCUGUUGCUCCCAGGAACAGAAUGGAAGAGAGGCAGGAACAGCCACAGCAGCCAGAGCUCCCCUCAGACCCCACCUUCUGACAGCGGGAGCCUGCCUUCUGCCUGGCGUUUCCUGAAUCCUUCUGCGCCUCACGCAGACGAUCCACGGCUCCCGGAGUCUCCGAGCAUGGGUUCUUGACUGAUGUGCCGGCUCCUUGAGACCGCUCUUCAGGAAGGUGGCCCAGGACACCUGGGUAAGAAUGUUUUUCUCUGCUCAAGUCUUGUGCACACUCUGCCACAGCUGAACGUGGGUGUGUUUCUCUCCCACAUCUCGGCUCCUGAUCUGGAGGGUGGUGGUGGGCGGCGCAGAGCAGGGAGGUUGCCUGCUUGAAACACAACUGUAGGAUUUUAACAUACUUCUUCUAAGGGCGGUGUGAGGUUUUAUGUUUGUUUGUUUUAUUUUGUUUUGUUUUUUUAUAAACUGAAUAUAUUUUUAUCCCCGGGGGCGGUGUGAGGUUUUUAAGGUGAAGCUGUUUGUUCAGUGGAGGCCUAGGUGUGGUAAUUCUUAGUGAAACUGAUUCAUCUACAUCUUCCAAGACUGGAAGAAAUUCAAAGACAGAGGCCACCAGAGGCAUCCAGGAGGCAGAAACCAGUCCAGGAGGACCUGACAAGGAGAUCCCUCUGUGGGGAGGGAACUGAGGAAGGAAGCUGUGGAAGAGGGUGGAAGACCCGGAGCGUUUUGUUGGUUUUUUCCCCACCCAGUCCCUGCAAGUGAGACUCAACUCCCAUCCUUCUCUGGCCUCCAUCAAAUGCAGGACCUGGUGCAGCUUCCAUGAGAAAGCUUAACUGUCACUCGUAUGGACACAGAGAUGGUCAAGGUUCUGAGGAACAGAAGUCAAAGGUGUUGCUAUGGCCGACGGAAGGAGAACACGCACCAACCUGAACCCCAGAGAAGCAGGUGUCAGCACCCGGCCCCCGCUCACCCUGACAUCUGGGAGAGCAGAGCACCAGCGCCACAAAAGCUUGCCCCCGACUUGGUGCCACCCCGUCGGGGAACAGGGAAGGAAAGAACGUAGUGUCGCUCCACAUCACCAUCCAUCUCUGAGAAAGCGGGAUGUCAAGUCAUCUUCUACCAGUUGACCAGACGCCACAAGAAAGAACCCAUAAGCAGAGUAUUCUAGACAGGCAGGUAUCUGUGUUCAGGAACAUUCUGCCCCCCUCGUCCAGCACGGCUCAAGUGGCUUGUCAUGUCUACUCAGUGAGAACAAACACCACGACAAGUACUAGGAAGCCCAGUGCACACACGUGGAAUCGCAGCCCCUCAUGAGUCAAAAUUCUGCCCCUCAGCCCCUGCCGCACCAUCUGCUUCCCUCCCUGACAGAGGGGUCUUCUACUCUCCACAAGGACUGUCCAUGGCAACAGCACCACCAGGAGAUGGGAGUGUCUGGAGUCCUACAGCGGACCCGGAAGAGUGAUUUCUGAGAGAAGCACGACCCCCACG